GACGAACCGAGCGAGCGUUGUUCGGAAUCACUGGGCGUAAAGGGCGCGUAGGCGGCCUGGUAAGUAGGGGGUGAAAUCCUGCGGCUUAACCGCAGGGCUGCCUUCUAAACUGUCAGGCUCGAGCACGGUAGAGGCAGAUGGAAUUCCCGGUGUAGCGGUGGAAUGCGUAGAGAUCGGGAAGAACAUCAGUGGCGAAGGCGGUCUGCUGGGCCGUUGCUGACGCUGAGGCGCGACAGCGUGGGGAGCAAACAGG
rnacentral:rRNA from 1 species